AUUCUAAAAUUUCUAAACACCGGGCUAACCGAACGAGAGAGAGGUUAGAGUAUCGGAGGUUGGACUGAUUGAACUGUGUUCUCGCGACAAAAGACGAACGAUGGCGACGGAAAAAAUCGGGAAGAUCCUCAAAGACGUCUACUACGAUCCGUUCAAGUGGUCGGUGGUAAAGAACAUUGCUUUCUUCGUCGUCGGCGUCAAGAUCGCCGUCGAGUGCAACGGGAUGACCCUCAUGCCGCCAGUCUCUGUUUAAGUCUAUCCACGUUCGUCAUAGGAUUCCAGAGGAGAAACUGUCCGGAUUAAUGUUCCAGCGGUUUCUCGCGUCUCGUACACGAUUACAAUCAUCGCAGGAGUAUAUAUAUAUAUACAUUCAAUUUUAUCUGUACUGUAAAAACUGUAUAUUGCAUAUCUGAAACGCUCUUGUUAAACCAUAUAUUGUUAAUAAAUGAUAUACACCAGUA